rnacentral:lncRNA from 1 species
UGGGCCCUAAGCUGAAGGCCCAAAGUGUUAUUGUGAGGUUCAGAAAGGAGGUGUGCAUGUAAACAGGGGAUAUAUGAGGUAAUUCCAUGGGCCUAGUGGUUUUGGGAUCCAAAGAGCAAAGGCCGAAGGAGAGGAGACCCUUCAGCAAGGUUCAUUCCAUUCUUCCCCUCGUUUUCAACUCUCUCUCUCUCUCUCACUCUCAAUUCAACCUCAAUUCAAUCAAAAACUUAAACAAACUUCGAAAUCGGGCCAAGAAAGAGAAGAACCCCAGACUACCAUAAGUGAAACUAAACACCAACAGAGCUUCAAACCAAACUCAAACCUUAAGGGUUUGGUUCGGAUACAAUAAUGCUACAUUGCAGUAAAAGAAUUCGAGCAAGAAGAAGAGGAAUUUCGAAGUAAAUACCAACCUACAAGGUGGAGGUAGCAUUGUAACACGUUGAAUGUAAAGCUGAUUAAGAUGGAGCAAGAAAACCAGGGGAUCUUCAACAAGGUAAGCAAUUCGAACUCAAAUCUUAUUUGGCAACACAAUCUUCUUUUUCUUCUUCUUCUUGAACACUAUCCUGUAGGAUGAGGAUUCUAUGAUAAUCUUUAUUGUUGUUGUUGUUGUUAUUUUUGAUGAUGAGUGGGGAUUGGAUUAUAGAGAAAAAUUCAUAGUGAUUGAAAGAGAGUGAUUGUGAUUUUCUACAAAAUGAUUGGUGAUGAUGAAUGAAGGUGAAUAACUGUUUAUAUAUAGUGGUUUUGUAACAUUUCGGGCAGGCUUGGGGGCAAUGGUUAUUGAGAGUUGAGGAAACCAUUUAUGUUAGGUUAAUUCAAUGAAGUUAGUUGUUGAUGUCAACAUAGUUAACUUUUCUGUUAAAGUUAGUUAGAUUGCAUUUGUUAGUAUUGGGAUAGAUAUAAAGUUAGUUGUUAUAGGUUGAAGUUAGUUAUGCAGUUAGAAUUAAGGACUGUUAUGGAGAAUUGAAGUGUGAGUUAGAUUUGAAAAUUAAACUAGGUUAGUUGAAUGAAGGGUGUUAGUGAGUUGUAAGAAACAGUUAGUGACUUAACACUAAUUAGAAAUGUCAUGAAAAGUGAUUAGUUAACUAACUCUGGUAGAGCUGUUAGACAUUGUUCAAAUUGAGAUGAAAAAUGUUACUGAAUAACUGAAGUUGAAUGUGAAUGAGUUAGUAUUGUUUGAAUUAGAGUUAGUUAGGGAUUGUUGUUAGGAAAUUCUAAUGAGUAGGUUAAAGGAAUUAAAUUGGGACUGUUAUAAAAAUGGUUUGAAUUUGAUGUUAGCAUGGUUGUUUUAAAUAAAAAAAGAAGUUAGUUGAAUUGUUAGAUUAGUGUUGAUGGUUAAUGAAUUAGUUUUGGAAUGUUAAUUAUGAUUAUCUUGUGAACUGUUUGGAAAAUGUUAUUGAAUUAGUCUUUGUUAGUUGAAAUGCUAUGCUAGAUGCUUGAACUCAUGUGGAACUGUUUGUAUUAGUGUUUGAUCUCCAUGUUAAUUGAUCAAAUGUGGUGUAACUGUCAUGAAAGUAUGAACUAGCCCAACUUUGGAACUAUCAAGGCAUGUUAAUUAGAUUGGUUUGAAUGUAGCAUAAAUCAAAGUUAUGCUAGGUUAUGUUAUGUUUACUGCUAAUGACUGAGGUUUUGCACAUUAAACUGCUAGAAUGUAGUGGAUGGUGGUCAUUGAUGUUAAAAUUCUUGAACUACUAUGUAGCUUGAGUUGUUAGGGGACUGCUUGAAAUAUGAUUGAAUUUGCAUAGAAAAGUAUGAACUAUUAUGCAAUUUAUUUAAGUAAAAUAUAGGUUAAUGGAAUGUGGAAAUGUUAUUUGCCAUUCUUGGAAUUGUUAUGACUAGUUACUUGCUACAUGUGACAGUUAUGUACAAAUUAAUGUGUGAAUUAUUGAUGGUCCAACAUUUAGAAUCUUACUUGUGAUUAGAAAAUGAAUGUUGGUGAAUUGUUAUGCCAUUGAAUGAACAUUAGUUAAUUUAAUUGGUUAGGAUGCCUAAGUUGGUUUGAAUAUGCCAAGUUCAAUUUAAUGAUGGCUUGUUGAUAUGUAUGUAUACACAAAUGAAUGAAUGCUAAUUACGUAUGUAUGUUUGGUGUUCUUUUGUAGGGCUGGUAUGGAAUGGCCAUGGCUUGGUGUGAGACAACGUUUGGCAUGACAUUCAAAUUUGAAGACUUUGGAGGCUUUAGAGGCUUGGAGGGAUAUCUUGUGAAUGAAGACAAGUAGAAUAGGAUUUAGGUUUAGGUAGUUGACUUUGGUUACCGUUUGACCAAAAAGUCAAUAGUUGACCAAAAGUCAAUUGUAGGUCAAAUAUGUAGUUUUAUGUAGAAUUUUGUAAUUUGGAUUUUUUUAAUGAAACUUGAUGAUUUGUAAUAAAAAAUGGGCCUUUUGAAUGAAUUGUGUAACUGUGCUUUCAGAAAAUAUGGAUUCCCUCCAAAUUCCAAUUUUGAAUAUUUGAAUUGAACUUGAAAUGAAAUUUCCUUCUUGAAUGAAUC